rnacentral:rRNA from 1 species
GAUUCGUCACACUAUCAUUAACUGAAUCCAUAGGUUAAUGAGGCGAACCGGGGGAACUGAAACAUCUAAGUACCCCGAGGAAAAGAAAUCAACCGAGAUUCCCCCAGUAGCGGCGAGCGAACGGGGAGGAGCCCAGAGCCUGAAUCAGCAUGUGUGUUAGUGGAAGCGUCUGGAAAGGCGCGCGAUACAGGGUGACAGCCCCGUACACAAAAGCGCAUGUGCUGUGAGCUCGAUGAGUAGGGCGGGACACGUGGUAUCCUGUCUGAAUAUGGGGGGACCAUCCUCCAAGGCUAAAUACUCCUGACUGACCGAUAGUGAACCAGUACCGUGAGGGAAAGGCGAAAAGAACCCCGGCGAGGGGAGUGAAAAAGAACCUGAAACCGUGUACGUACAAGCAGUGGGAGCACAGGUUUACCUGUGUGACUGCGUACCUUUUGUAUAAUGGGUCAGCGACUUAUAUUCUGUAGCAAGGUUAACCGUAUAGGGGAGCCGGAGGGAAACCGAGUCUUAAUUGGGCGUUAAGUUGCAGGGUAUAGACCCGAAACCCGGUGAUCUAGCCAUGGGCAGGUUGAAGGUUGGGUAACACUAACUGGAGGACCGAACCGACUAAUGUUGAAAAAUUAGCGGAUGACCUGUGGCUGGGGGUGAAAGGCCAAUCAAACCGGGAGAUAGCUGGUUCUCCCCGAAAGCUAUUUAGGUAGCGCCUCGUGAAUUCAUCUCCGGGGGUAGAGCACUGUUUCGGCUAGGGGGCCAUCCCGGCUUACCAACCCGAUGCAAACUGCGAAUACCGGAGAAUGUUAUCACGGGAGACACACGGCGGGUGCUAACGUCCGUCGUGAAGAGGGAAACAACCCAGACCGCCAGCUAAGGUCCCAAAGUCAUGGUUAAGUGGGAAACGAUGUGGGAAGGCCCAGACAGCCAGGAUGUUGGCUUAGAAGCAGCCAUCAUUUAAAGAAAGCGUAAUAGCUCACUGGUCGAGUCGGCCUGCGCGGAAGAUGUAACGGGGCUAAACCAUGCACCGAAGCUGCGGCAGCGAACGUAUCACCCAAGACAACUUUACGGAGUUGACGAUUGACGGAGCGAAGCGACGUCAAAGCGUUCAUUAAAGUCGAGUUGGCUUAGGGAUACGUUCGUUGGGUAGGGGAGCGUUCUGUAAGCCUGUGAAGGUGUGUCGUGAGGCAUGCUGGAGGUAUCAGAAGUGCGAAUGCUGACAUAAGUAACGAUAAAGCGGGUGAAAAGCCCGCUCGCCGGAAGACCAAGGGUUCCUGUCCAACGUUAAUCGGGGCAGGGUGAGUCGACCCCUAAGGCGAGGCCGAAAGGCGUAGUCGAUGGGAAACGGGUUAAUAUUCCCGUACUUGGUGUUACUGCGAAGGGGGGACGGAGAAGGCUAUGUUGGCCGGGCGACGGUUGUCCCGGUUUAAGCGUGUAGGUGUGUGUUCCAGGUAAAUCCGGUUCACUUUAACACUGAGGCGUGACGACGAGGCACUACGGUGCUGAAGCAACAAAUGCCCUGCUUCCAGGAAAAGCCUCUAAGCAUCAGGUAACAUCAAAUCGUACCCCAAACCGACACAGGUGGUCAGGUAGAGAAUACCAAGGCGCUUGAGAGAACUCGGGUGAAGGAACUAGGCAAAAUGGUGCCGUAACUUCGGGAGAAGGCACGCUGACACGUAGGUGAAGUGAUUUACUCAUGGAGCUGAAGUCAGUCGAAGAUACCAGCUGGCUGCAACUGUUUAUUAAAAACACAGCACUGUGCAAACACGAAAGUGGACGUAUACGGUGUGACGCCUGCCCGGUGCCGGAAGGUUAAUUGAUGGGGUCA